UCCCUCGUGGCUCAGAUGGUAAGAGCAUCUGCUUGAAAUGCGAAAGACCCAGGUUCGAUUCCUCGGUGGGAA
rnacentral:tRNA from 1 species